rnacentral:rRNA from 1 species
UCCGUUGGUGAACCAGCGGAGGGAUCAUUACUGAGUUUACGCUCUACAACCCUUUGUGAACAUACCUACAACUGUUGCUUCGGCGGGUAGGGUCCCCGUGACCCUCCCGGCCUCCCGCCCCCCCGGGCGGGUCGGCGCCCGCCGGAGGAUAACCAAACUCUGAUUUAACGACGUUUCUUCUGAGUGGUACAAGCAAAUAAUCAAAACUUUUAACAACGGAUCUCUUGGUUCUGGCAUCGAUGAAGAACGCAGCGAAAUGCGAUAAGUAAUGUGAAUUGCAGAAUUCAGUGAAUCAUCGAAUCUUUGAACGCACAUUGCGCCCGCCAGCAUUCUGGCGGGCAUGCCUGUUCGAGCGUCAUUUCAACCCUCAAGCUCUGCUUGGUGUUGGGGCCCUACAGCUGAUGUAGGCCCUCAAAGGUAGUGGCGGACCCUCCCGGAGCCUCCUUUGCGUAGUAACUUUACGUCUCGCACUGGGAUCCGGAGGGACUCUUGCCGUAAAACCCCCCAAUUUUCCAAAGGUUGACCUCGGAUCAGGUAGGAAUACCCGCUGAACUUAAGCAUAUCAAUA